GAUGAACGCUAGCGAUAGGCUUAACACAUGCAAGUCGAGGGGCAGCAUGGUCUUAGCUUGCUAAGGCUGAUGGCGACCGGCGCACGGGUGCGUAACGCGUAUGCAACUUGCCUCACAGAGGGGGAUAACCCGUCGAAAGACGGACUAAUACCGCGUACACUCUAUAUUGGGCAUCCAAUGUAGAGGAAAUGAAAUUCGCUGUGAGAUAGGCAUGCGUCCCAUUAGCUAGUUGGUGAGGUAACGGCUCACCAAGGCGACGAUGGGUAGGGGAACUGAGAGGUUGAACCCCCACACUGGUACUGAGACACGGACCAGACUCCUACGGGAGGCAGCAGUGAGGAAUAUUGAUCAAUGGGCGAGAGCCUGAACCAGCCAAGUCGCGUGAAGGAUGACUGUCUUAUGGAUUGUAAACUUCUUUUAUACGGGAAUAACAAGAGUCACGUGUGGCUCCCUGCAUGUACCGUAUGAAUAAGCAUCGGCUAACUCCGUG
rnacentral:rRNA from 1 species